CCUGUCUAUAAAAGAAAAGAGUACUUCGUGUCAAAGCUGCUGCUGUGCAAACCAGCCUUCUAGUGAAUUUGGAUAAUUUCUUGAUGAACAGUAUCAGCUGCAUAUUCCAUAUAAUUCCCUUUUUCAAAUAUCAGAUACCAAAUGGACUGUGACAACAGUCUCUGCUGGAAAAAGGGCUCUGCGUCUCAUGCCUUGCCCAUCAGGGCAUUUGAAGGAUUUAGAAAUCAAAAGACUCAAUGAAAUGCAACGUAGUACUCCAAAGAAUAAUGUGACAGGAUAAUCCUUCCUCAGUAUGGAGGAAUUCAGAAGAGAAAUAAGCCCUUUACUGAGAACACAUGGUCCAUUAAGAUCACUUUGAAAGACAGUGAUGGAAAUAACUGUAAAGCCAAUUGCUGCUCCUAAGUGCCUUCUGGAGAGAUGACUGAGCACCGAAAAUCAGCACCAAAUGCUUCAUCUUGCAAAAAGACUCAGAGGGAGUUACACAAGUGAUUGCUGUGUAACACUGCCAAAAGGAUUUUGUCAGUCUUUGACUGAUUUACAUCAGCAACAUCAAUUUCAAUCUUGCUUUGCAUUUUGUCAUUUAAGUGUUUGCUUACAAAACUUGAUUGAUAGCUAUAAGGAUGUAUUGAUUUCAAGUUAAACACUGCCUUUAUAGUAACCACAGUAAUUUCUGGUAACCAUAAUUUCAUACAGAAUAAUUUUACUCUUUGUAAUAACUGCAGUAAUUUUUGGUAAGCAUAAGGUUAUUCAUUAUAUUUAAUCAUUAUAAAUUUACUUCAGUACAUAUUUAUGAAUACUUUAAUAUUUCACAAUUUAAUUAUGUUUAAAAUUAUAAGCUGACUGUUUAUUUUUUAGAUUAUUAGUAGUUUAUUUAUUAAUAUAUUUAUGAAUAUUUGUCUGCUUACAUUUGGGUUUUUGUUGGAGAUCCAUUAAAAUGCAUUAAAAAUUGUUAAAAUUACUGCAAGAACUUCAGGAAAAAUAUCUGAAAUAUGAUAUAGACAGAAAAAUGUAAAUUUAUGAAAAGGAACAUAGCAUAUAAAACAGGCACAUUAAAUUAUAAAAAUAAAUUAAUUAAAACAUAUUAAUGACUGUGGUCACCAUGCUUUUUAGGUAUGUUUUUUGAGUGAUGACUAUUUUGUUUUCUACAUUUGCAGUCAAAAGUACAAUGAGACAGUAGCUUUCUGAUAUUCUCAUUCUCUCAUAAGCUAGAAGAAACAAAACAACAUUCCCAUAUUUAAAACUUUUAAAAUCACUGCAAGAACUUCAGGAAAAGCAUUUUAAGCAGUAUGCAUAUAGAUAAAGGCAAAAACUUUGCUUGGAGAGGGUGUGUUCUCAUCCUUGCUCAAUAGGUACAGGAAGUACA